CAGGUAACAACAGAGAAGGGACAUGCGGGAACAGUCGGAGACUCCAGCUCUGCAGACAGGGGUUGAAGCUGGGAGAGAGACACAUCAAUGCAUGCCGGCUGUCUAUACGGAUGGGCUCAGCAGGAAAACUGGCUGUUCCAUCACCUCCUAUGUCAACCUCCGUGGCUCCGUCUCCUCAGCUGUCCUGAGUGGGCACUUCCCCAGCAAAGGCAGCAAGCUGAAGAAGGCUGGAAUAAGAUUGAUGACACUGGUUAGUAGCUUCAAUGCAUGGCGGACUUACUGCAUACAGGGCCGGUGAAAAGCCUCCCUCUUCCCAAUGCUACCUGCCAGCUACGCUUCUCGGCAGAUGUUUCUGGACUUCAGUGGCCUCAUUUGCAAGCUGAGAGGGCUGAACAGAUGAACCCUACACUCUUCUGUCUGAAGUUUCUGUGCUCCCAAAUGUCUUCAUUUUAAAGAGGAGGUGGGGAAGAGAUGGAAACUUCUAAACUAAGUGCCUCGCCCAGACAGCUCUCCUCAAAGAAGGGGAGCAACCCCAACCCCUCCCCAGCAGUGAGGGUCCUGAACCCACCCUUGGCCCAUCACCCACCCCCAGCCCACAGCAAGGGUCCAUCCCUGCCUCCCUUAAGAUGGGGAAAUGGGUCUCUUGGGCUGCCAGUAUGUGAGCCUGCUCUCCCCAGAAGGCAUAAUCCCUAGUAGGUGAGAUUGUUGAGAAUAACGCUGGGGGGUCCUCUAGCCCGGAAACCCUGCAAGCUGACAUGGGGCCUUCUCAAUCCCCGUUCCCACCACACAGAGCUGCAUUCCUGGAAAAUGACACGGCGCCAAGAGGUUUUUAAUAGAAAUGACCCUGCUGAUCAUCCCAGCCACCCUGUGAGUACACACAGAGUAUCAGGAAAACCUUGUUUUUCAAAUGAAGACACUGAGGCUGGAAGCCACGCAGUGACUUGUCUGGGCUCUGGCCCAGCAGAGCCUCACAUGCAAAUCUCAGGAUCCUAAACACCAUUUUCAUUGCUUUCUUUCCCCAAAAUGUUUGUGGUCUCUUUUGUGUCAGGUAAAGCACUAGUCACUUUCUACAAAGCCUUGCACGUUUUAUGUUGGAUUAUUCUGCUAUUUUGGCAAAUAAUGUGAAAGUGUUUAAGCACUUUUAUGUCAAACCUAAUUUCCUUUCAACAUCAUGUGAUAAUACCAGAAGUUGGCAGGGGAAAUUUUGUUGUUUUUCUCUUAUUUUUAAGUUAAAUAUUAAUGAUAAAAAAGAACCAUCAAUAAGAGCCCCUUGCAGUCCCUGAGCUCUUCACAUCCUGGUGACUAUUUUUACUGGGAAGAUGCUUUUAUUUCUGACUCUGCAUGGUAACUGGGAUGACAUCAAUUAUUUGUUUGUUACCUCCCAAAUUAUCAAGGAGCCGAUGAUCUAAUGAUGAUGAUCAAUGACACAGGUGAUAGAUGAUGUCACAAUCUGAACACCUGCCGGGUGCCACCCAGCACCUUUCCUGCAUCGCCUCCCAUAUCCUCUGAGGACCCAAGAUCCACUUUAGUAUUUGCCACAUAGUAAAUGCUCAGAAAAUACCAGCGCAGUCACUCUUCUCUGGAGUCCAAUCUUCCCUGAACAGGUGCUCCUGCGCCCAUUUUAUAGGUGAGCAAACCGAGGAUAGAAAGUUUACAUCACUCCCUCAGGAUCCUGCAGCCAGUAUUUAAAUGCGAGGACAUGUUCUUUCUUCUACCUAUUGCUUGUGAAGCUAGGAAGGAGAUGGGGGUGAGGAAGGAGCAGAGCCCGAGGAAGGUGAAAAUACCAGAAGAAAAAUGGAAGGUGGAGGCCGGGCACAGUGGCUCACACCUGUAAUCCCAGCACUUUGGGGGGCUGAGUCGGGUGGAUCGCCUAAGAUCAGGAGUUCAAGACCAGCCUGGCUAACUGGGUGAAACCUUGUCUCUACCAAAAAUACAAAAAUUAGCCAAGUAUGGUAGUGCACACCUGUAAUUCCAGCUACUGGGGAAGCUGAGGCAGAAGAAUUGCUUGAACCUGGUAUGUGGAGACUGCAGUGAGCCAAGAUUGUGCCAUUGCACCCCAGCACUCCAGCCUGGGCAGCAGAGCAAGACCUCAUCUCAAAAAAAAAAAAAAAAAAGAAAGAAAGAAGAAUGGAAAGUGGAGAACAGGUGGUCUUAACAAGUUGUCCAGAGGAGGAGGAAAUGGAUAGCCCCAGGGCCCUCGUCCUUGGCACAUAUGCACAUGAACAGACCAAACCUGCCAGGUGGGCUUGAGGUUGGAAGGAGCCACAGGGCUGUGUCUACACUGUCCAGUAUGGAAGCACCCAACCACCUGCCACCACGGAACACGUGAAAAGUGUCGAGGUGGCUGCCACAUUGCACCACACAGCUGGAGAAGGCUGAGAAGAGGGGGAUGGAGAGACCCUCCCCUCCAAGGGAGAGGUGCAAGGGGGGCCUCUCUGCCCUCCAGGGCUCAGUAUCAAUGGUGGGAGACUGCCUUCAUCCCCCAGAACACACUCCUGGGACAGCUGCAAAUAGGGAACCCCCAAAGCCCAGCAGCUGUGGGAGGUGAAGGGGCAGCUCGGUUACAGACCAGGCUGCAAAGCAUCUGUCUAAAAGGUCAGUGUCCACAAGAAGCACAUCAUCUGACCACCCAGCAGUUUCCCGGCACCAGCUCCAUGUCCAGCCCUGUGUUAGGUCCAGCUGAAUCAGCAACUUACUGGGGAAGUCAUGUCUCUAAGAAAGGAGCCCUCAGGCCUGCAGAGGCUCUGUUAGCCCCACUGCAGACAGCAGAACCCAGAAAACACUGGUGAGAGCAGCGGCCCCGGGAGAGGAUCCUGGAGGACAAUCAUCCUCACACCCUCGUAGAAGGCAGGCAGGUGUACCAGUCAGGGUCCGGGCAGAAAAGAGGACCAGGUGCAGAUCAUUCAUAGGAAGAGACGGCGAGGAAGAGGCCUUAACAAAGGGGAGGGCAGAUUCCAGAACAAACAUGAAACAUGGGGGAAGAGCGAGAAGCUGACUAGGGUCAAAGGGUCAGAGGAGGAGACAAGGCUGCAGAGGGAGCGGUCAGGGCUGUGGUCCCAGAGAAGCAGGGAUCAGGCAGUCAGGAGGUGGCCAGACCAACUGAGGAGCAGGAAACAGAUAAGGAAACCAAAGCUCAGAGAGGUUAAGUAACUGGCCCCACAUCACUCAGCUAGAAGGAAGUAAUAGAGCUGGAAUUUGAACCCAGGCUACAAGUUGGGGGUGUCCGCAUUGAUUUUUGAGUAGGUUUGAGUAGUAGCCUCUCUCUUUCCACCCAGGGGUCUCCUGCGGGGCUUCCCAUUGGCUGACGGGAAGAAGCGUGAGGCAGAGUAACCCUGGCAAUGAACUUGAGGGAUCCACUGAGGGCUUUCUACAAUUCCCACAAGAUGCUGUUGCCCUUCCCCAUCCAAGAGGAUGCCAGAGCCCAUGUGAUGACCUUGUUAUCGUUAAGAGGCUUGAAAAAGCAAAACAAGAUCGUCCUGUCUCUGGAUGCACCUUUGAUGCCUCCAUUCUAUCAGGCAAGCAAGGCCCUGGAAACAUCCUUUCUCUCCAGCAGAGGAGCCUGAUAGGUUGACAGGGAACCCUGGUCUCUGGACUCCCAGGCUUAAUCUGGGCCAACAGAGGAAGGGGUUUCCUGAGAAGUGAGACCCUCCAGAGCCCCUGUGGAAGGCUCCCAGCUUUGGGGGCAUUUUUGGUUUCUUAAUCUGCAUUUAGCUCCACCUCAGAGUGGGGCAUGGGGAACCUGAUUGGGAUUUAGAAGGUGACGAGGCAUUCUUACACUAAUUGUGCCCCUCGGGAUGCAUGGAAUACUAGGAGACACCAUGGCUUUUCACAUUCAGGUGCUCGUGUGAACAUCACCAACUGCCUCUAAACACAGGUAGCAGCAACAUGCAAUCUUUUGAUGGGAAGCAGUUAUUUCUUGAUCACUCGAGGGUUUUGAAGGCAGCCAGGCAGCUCAGGGGAAAAGCAGGUUCUACGAGAAGAGAGACAUGAUAUGCUCAGACAUUUCUGCAUCCUUGUCCUACACACAGUGUGAUCCACAGUGGUAAAGGUGAAGAAACUGAGAUUCACGAGUGUUUCAGAAAACUGCCUAAGAUGUUAGAACUAACAAGUCCUGAAGUUCAAACCCAAGUAUGACUGUCAACAUGAGGUUCUUUCUACAAACAGCAAUUCUGGAAGCUUCCAUUUACAGAGUGUUGCCCACAGAAGGGGCCUGGAAUACUGGUUGUUCAUGGAAUCUUCACUACUGCCCCAUGAAGUAGAGACAACGAUUAAGCCCAUUUUACCAAUGAGGAAAAUGGAAGCACAGAGAGACCUAAUAACCUUCCUAAGAUCACACAGUGAGACAGGACCCACAGUUGUUCUCUUUCCUCACCUCAUCACACUGCAGCCAUGACCAACCAAGAGGGCACAAUCGUCACUUAAGGCAUGAAGAAGCUCUGGUCAUAGGCUUGACUUGCAGGUGAGCCACCGAUCGGGGUUGCUCAAUGUGUCCUGAGCCCAAUUCAAGUCAGAUUGUGAAACCUUUGCUUCAACAGUCCCAGUGAUGGGAAGCUCAAUGGGAAGCGAGUCUCUCAGUCAGCUGCCAAUGAGUCUUUCCUUCCCUGAAUGCACAUAGUGGGUAUCAUAUUAAGAUGUGAGGGUUACAUUCUCUCCCCUUGAAUCUGGGCUGGCCCUGUGAUAUGAUGAGCAGAAUGUAGUAGAGGUGACACUCCAGAACUUCCAAGCCCAAAUCCAAGAUUAGCAGUUUCUCCUUCCUUCCCCUUGGGACACAAUCACAAGAGAAGCCUGGGCCCCAAGGAGAAGCCACAUGGAGGAGAACCAAGGUGUUCCAGUUGACAACUCUAAAAGACCUCCUGCCAACAGCCAGCACCAGCUGCCAGCAGGGGGAAUGAGCUGCUUUAGAUUGCCAGCCAGCAUGGAGACCCCAGGUGACUGCAGCCAGCGACAUCAUGAAGAGCAGCAGAACCAACCAGCUGAGCCCUGUCACCCCACAGAAUCACAAGAAUAACAAAACAGUCGGUGGCUUAAGUCAUUGAUCUCCUAGACAUUUUACUGUGCUGCUACCAAUAACUACCUUGUGAGGCAGCCUGUGUACCUGGAGACUGUUCCACCUUUAGGUGUUUUUUCCAUAAAGCUAAAUCCUCAUUCUUUCAUUUGUCUCCCUGGUUGGAGAUCUCCCUCAGGAACCACAUAGAACACAUGACAGAGAAUUAGAAAUGAAGGGGUAUGAGUUAUUAAAGACCAGCUUGUCCAUAUUGCUAACUAUACAGAUUAGUGAUUGAAGGCCAAACAGAUUCUGUGGCAUUCUCUGACCUCCCAUCCAGGUUGGGUACCCCACUCUGAGCUCCCACAAUCCCCUCUGCUUUUCCCACGAAAGCACUUACCACACCACACUACCUCCUAAUAACGUGGUAACAUCUCUUUCCAGGCAAGAGGCCAUAGGC
rnacentral:lncRNA from 1 species